rnacentral:rRNA from 1 species
CAGGCCUAACACAUGCAAGUCGAGCGCGCCCUUCGGGGUGAGCGGCGGACGGGUUAGUAACGCGUGGGAACGUACCCAGAUCUAAGGAAUAGCCACUGGAAACGGUGAGUAAUACCUUAUACGCCCUUCGGGGGAAAGAUUUAUCGGAUUUGGAUCGGCCCGCGUUAGAUUAGAUAGUUGGUGGGGUAACGGCCUACCAAGUCUACGAUCUAUAGCUGGUUUUAGAGGAUGAUCAGCAACACUGGGACUGAGACACGGCCCAGACUCCUACGGGAGGCAGCAGUGGGGAAUCUUAGACAAUGGGCGCAAGCCUGAUCUAGCCAUGCCGCGUGAGUGACGAAGGCCCUAGGGUCGUAAAGCUCUUUCGCCAGGGAUGAUAAUGACAGUACCUGGUAAAGAAACCCCGGCUAACUCCGUGCCAGCAGCCGCGGUAAUACGGAGGGGGUUAGCGUUGUUCGGAAUUACUGGGCGUAAAGCGCGCGUAGGCGGAUUGGAAAGUUGGGGGUGAAAUCCCGGGGCUCAACCCCGGAACUGCCUCCAAAACUAUCAGUCUAGAGUUCGAGAGAGGUGAGUGGAACUCCGAGUGUAGAGGUGAAAUUCGUAGAUAUUCGGAAGAACACCAGUGGCGAAGGCGGCUCACUGGCUCGAU